rnacentral:rRNA from 1 species
GUAGGGUGCGAGCGUUAAUCGGAAUUACUGGGCGUAAGGCGUGCGCAGGCGGUUUGGUAAGACAGACGUGAAAUCCCCGGGCUUAACCUGGGAACUGCGUUUGUGACUGCCAGACUAGAGUGUAGCAGAGGGGGGUAGAAUUCCACGUGUAGCAGUGAAAUGCGUAGAUAUGUGGAGGAAUACCGAUGGCGAAGGCAGCCCCCUGGGCUAACACUGACGCUCAUGCACGAAAGCGUGGGGAGCAAACAGGAUUAGAUACCCUGGUAGUCCACGCCCUAAACGAUGUCAACUAGGUGUUGGGGAAGGAGACUUCUUUAGUACCGCAGCUAACGCGUGAAGUUGACCGCCUGGGGAGUACGGUCGCAAGAUUA